rnacentral:misc_RNA from 1 species
CAGGACUCGCAAGACUCCUACAACCCUGUGAACUUCACUACAAGCACGUUGCUUCGGCGGGUGUCUCGGCGGAGGUCCCCACUGGGGACCUGCGCAGGGGCGCGAAGCCCGCCGGCAGCCUACUAUACUCUGCCUCUUUGCGUUGGCAUCUCAAGAAAAAGCAAACAAGUUA